rnacentral:rRNA from 1 species
UUGAACGCUGGCGGCAGGCCUAACACAUGCAAGUCGAGCGGAUGAAGGGAGCUUGCUCCUGGAUUCAGCGGCGGACGGGUGAGUAAUGCCUAGGAAUCUGCCUGGUAGUGGGGGAUAGCGUCCGGAAACGGGCGCUAAUACCGCAUACGUCCUGAGGGAGAAAGUGGGGGAUCUUCGGACCUCACGCUAUCAGAUGAGCCUAGGUCGGAUUAGCUAGUUGGUGGGGUAAAGGCCUACCAAGGCGACGAUCCGUAACUGGUCUGAGAGGAUGAUCAGUCACACUGGAACUGAGACACGGUCCAGACUCCUACGGGAGGCAGCAGUGGGGAAUAUUGGACAAUGGGCGAAAGCCUGAUCCAGCCAUGCCGCGUGUGUGAAGAAGGUCUUCGGAUUGUAAAGCACUUUAAGUUGGGAGGAAGGGCAGUAAGUUAAUACCUUGCUGUUUUGACGUUACCAACAGAAUAAGCACCGGCUAACUUCGUG